rnacentral:tmRNA from 1 species
UCUCUUCCUUUUUUAAGAAAAUUUUCGUAUACUAUAAUUGUUAGGAUUUCCUAACUAUGGCGAUAAACGCGCUACGGAAUAGGUGGGACGGACCCGGGGGCGGUACCCGGCGCCUCCACCAAACCUGUGAAAGGCUUGAAGCGCACAGCUUUCAUGGGGGCGAAAUAGGAUCGACGUACGCUCAAAGGUAGAGGCUUUCGCUCGACAUGGUACCGUCGUAAAUGGACUAAAAAUAGUAAAUGGCAAAUCAAAAUUUGCUCUUAAUGGUAAUGUACCUCAAGCCAUCAAUAACAAUGGUGUAGGGGCUGCAGUUGCACAAGCUGCUUAAUUAUCGUUAGCGGUUCGAGGGGCACCGGGCAACAGAAGCCCCUCACU